UCAUACUAACCGGGGAGUCAGCGGUGCCUUGUAGCCUGCAAUCCGCUACAGCAGGGGUUAUAUGCCUUUUGAGGGCAGCCACUGUGCGGCCGCGCCGUCUAUGCGCCCGUUGAGGGACGGGUCCCGCGCAAUCGGAAUCCGCGAACCAUGUCAGGUGGGGAACCAAGCAGCAUUAAGCGGUUCUUCCGGUGUGUUGCGGGAGCGCCUGUCCUGAGGGCAAGUUCCGGCUUACGCGCGUAGUUGUUGCUCGAUUUUGGAUGUAUGG
rnacentral:SRP_RNA from 1 species